GAACGGACGUUUGGCAAUGUUUUACAUGUUUGGAUUCUUUGUUCAGGCUAUUGUGACUGGAAAGGGACCUAUUGAGAAUCUCUAUGAUCACUUAGCUGAUCCAGUGGCUAACAAUGCAUGGGCUUAUGCCACUAACUUUGUACCUGGAAAAUGAAGAGAGAAUCAGGUUACAACAUUACUCAGUCCUGGUCCUUCUAAUUUCUUGAAAUGUUACUUUCUUAUUGUGGACUCCAUCAUUACUCGUGUUUUAGUAGUGGAAAUCAAGCAUUGUAUCAACAAAGCGUCAGAUCAGAUUUCUCCCUGCUUGAACCUAUGUAUUUGGUACGAAUAUGCCAUAAAUUACUUUAAAAAUUUUCUUCAAAACAUGACUUUCCACAACAGCAAUAUCAAUGCUUCAGAAGCCACAAUAAUAGUUCAGAUCGAGAAACACCUAGAACAUUCAAUAUAACCAAGUUCCUAAUAUGGAAUUCCAAGCUAUUCUCAUCUCUCCCUUUGCAAACAGCAUAUAGGUAAAAUAAUUAAAAGUACACUGGAAUAAAAGAAGGUUUUGGCCUUUGGCACUGUCAAUAAAUGGAUGUUAUCUGAUGGCAUAUAUAGCAUAGUUGCUGUUAAUUACAAGACCAAUAAUCAUUAAGCAAUUUUGUUAAUGUAAUGGGGUUGCUAAUUAUAUUUUAUCUGAGGUAAAUCAUAGAAAAGUGAUAUGCUUCUUAGUUUGUUGUUUCCAUUACUGGUUUAGGUGUUCAUUUCUAAUGGAACACUUUCUCACCAUAUUCAUAUUCAUGAGCAAGACCAAUGAAGAAUCUUCAAGUACUUCUAUGGGAGCUUCGCUUCAGAAUUGCAAGUGAAUUUGCUUCCAUAUCAAAGGCAUGUGCAAGUUUGUCUCUGUAUGGGCCCAAUUGGGAGGAAAGAGUUUGGAACUUAAUUCCUCAUGGACACGUAAGUUCAGACGAAAACGCGUGGGGUAGUUUAGGUAAUUAAAAAAGGUUUAUGUCAUAUAUUAGUUAUUAAGCUAUGGCAUUGGAGCUAUUUUAUUCAUGUAAAUGUAAUACUUUGUAUUUAGAUUCCUCAUUAUAAAUUGUAUAUGUAUCCUUAUACUAUUCAAACUCUAAUGCACAAGGAAAAUCACCA
rnacentral:misc_RNA from 1 species